rnacentral:rRNA from 1 species
GACGAACGCUGACGGCGUGCUUAACACAUGCAAGUCGAACGGAAAGGCCCUGCUUUUGUGGGGUGCUCGAGUGGCGAACGGGUGAGUAACACGUGAGUAACCUGCCCUUGACUUUGGGAUAACUUCAGGAAACUGGGGCUAAUACCGGAUAGGAGCUCCUGCUGCAUGGUGGGGGUUGGAAAGUUUCGGCGGUUGGGGAUGGACUCGCGGCUUAUCAGCUUGUUGGUGGGGUAGUGGCUUACCAAGGCUUUGACGGGUAGCCGGCCUGAGAGGGUGACCGGCCACAUUGGGACUGAGAUACGGCCCAGACUCCUACGGGAGGCAGCAGUGGGGAAUAUUGCACAAUGGGCGGAAGCCUGAUGCAGCAACGCCGCGUGCGGGAUGACGGCCUUCGGGUUGUAAACCGCUUUCGCCUGUGACGAAGCGUGAGUGACGGUAAUGGGUAAAGAAGCACCGGCUAACUACGU